UACGUAGGCAGCAAGCGUUGUUCGGAAUUACUGGGCGUAAAGAGUGUGUAGGCGGUGCUCCAAGUCUGGUGUGAAAUCUCCCGGCUCAACUGGGAGGGUGCGCUAGAAACUGGAAUGCUAGAGGAUGGGAGAGGUAAGCGGAAUUCCUGGUGUAGCGGUGAAAUGCGUAGAUAUCAGGAGGAACACCGGUGGCGAAGGCGGCUUGCUGGGCCUUACCUGACGCUGAGGAGCGAAAGCGUGGGGAGCGAACAGG
rnacentral:rRNA from 1 species